GACGAACGCUGGCGGCGUGCUUAACACAUGCAAGUCGAACGGAAAGGCCUCUUUCGGGGGGUACUCGAGUGGCGAACGGGUGAGUAACACGUGAGUAACCUGCCCUUGACUUUGGGAUAACUUCAGGAAACUGGGGCUAAUACCGGAUAGGAGCUCCUGGUGCAUGGUGGGGGUUGGAAAGUUUCGGCGGUUGGGGAUGGACUCGCGGCUUAUCAGCUUGUUGGUGGGGUAGUGGCUUACCAAGGCUUUGACGGGUAGCCGGCCUGAGAGGGUGACCGGCCACAUUGGGACUGAGAUACGGCCCAGACUCCUACGGGAGGCAGCAGUGGGGAAUAUUGCACAAUGGGUGGAAGCCUGAUGCAGCAACGCCGUGUGCGGGAUGACGGCCUUCGGGUUGUAAACCGCUUUCGCUCAUGACGAAGCUUUGUGUGACGGUAGUGGGUAAAGAAGCACCGGCUAACUACGUG
rnacentral:rRNA from 1 species